CGGCUGACUCACCUUUCUAACCACUUGGACAAAGUCCUUGGAGUUCUGGGGCGAGAGGCCCUGCAUCUGGCGUGUGCAGGCCUCCAGCGAGGAGGCGUGCGCCACGACGAGGACGCAGCUUACUCCCUGUUUACAGUCGGUCAGAAUCUCCCUGGUCACCUGAAAGCUCCUGCUAAUGUAAGUGUCAUAGGACUCUGACACUGCCAACUUGCUAAUGGGGAUGUGAGGUCUGGAAAAGAGUGAAAAAGAAAAGCAACACAUAAACAUCUGUUUGCAAUGCCUACAUAUAUACUGUGUCUAAACCUAAAUACUACUUUAUUAGGAAAUCCAC